AUACCUUUCUCGGUCUUUUGGCUAAGAUCAAGUGUAGUAUUUGUUCUUAUCAGUUUAAUAUCUGAUAUGUGAGCCAUGUGCCCACAACGAUAUUAAAUUUAUUUUUUGUGGGAAAGGUUCUCCAUAGUGGCUUGCCAUUAAGGCCCUCACGUGUCGCUUGGGCGUUGCACUACAUCCCAAGGAAGACGCACCCCAA
rfam:Triticum urartu cultivar G1812 contig508119, whole genome shotgun sequence.